GUUCAGUAAUAUACGUACUUCUGUUCGUUUUGUUCAGCUGGAGCGGAGAAAAGAGUAAGUCCAAACCAUAUUGGAAUAUAUCACAAUGAUGUUAAGAAGAACAUUGUUCCACGAAGUGGAACUGAAAGAACGAUUUGAUGCAGAAACUCAUCGCAAUGCACAGCUCCUAACUAAGUAUGAACUAUAUCAAGUCUACACAGGACAGGUGUCCAGAAGAUGACGAUGUUGAUGCCGAAUGCGACUGUUUGGCCUUAUGAACGAAUCAUAUUGCCAAGACUUCUUGUGUGAAUAUUGUACCUUUGUUUUCAUUGUCAAUGGCCUUGAUCUAGUAUACAACUUAUCCAUUGAUCCGCUUUCAGCCCUAGGAGAUUUCAAACAAAAAUGUGCGUCUCUUUCACCUGAUUAUACGUGAGAGUGACAUGAAUGUUAUAUUUAUGAUGUAAACCAAAAUUGGCAAUUCACUGCGCAUUGAGUUUUACAUGAACCGUUGAGCUUCCUAGCAAAAGAGUCCGAAAUCUGGGUUACCUUGACAGCUGCAGCCCCAGUGGCUUCGAUUGAAGCAGCGAGUAUUGUGAGGGAUGGUGAUGCUGCCCAUACGGAUGGUUUUGCUAGUACAUGUCACCAAGAUUCUUUGGACCAUACAGAGAAUUUGUGGACUUGCUGCGACUCAAUUCACUCAAAUCUAUUAUGGAUAUGUCUCCCUUUGACCAGUGUUGCUUUUUUAAGAUGCACAUUCAAGAAUGCAGGGAGUUCAUACCAUUUGUGAGGUAAUUUCUUAUCAUGAUGUAAUCACCUUUACAAACAGAGCUUGAACAGUUCUAAAGUUCUACUUCUUUUCUAUUGUAGAAAACAUAGUAGUAGAGCAUUGUUGUUGUAAAGAGAGUUUGUUUCAAGAAAGUGCUAGGCCUUUAGCUACUACUAAUUGCUCAAACAAGUUUUUAAAACACAAAUAUUAUUU